rnacentral:rRNA from 1 species
GUGCCAGCCGCCGCGGUAAUACGGAGGGUGCGAGCGUUGUUCGGAAUUACUGGGCGUAAAGCGCGUGUAGGCGGCUACCUAAGUCUGGUGUGAAAGCCCGGGGCUUACCCCCGGAAGAGCACUGGAAACUGGGUAGCUUGAGUAUCGGAGAGGAGGGUGGAAUUCCUGGUGUAGCGGUGAAAUGCGUAGAUAUCAGGAAGAACACCGGUGGCGAAGGCGGCCCUCUGGACGAAUACUGACGCUGAGACGCGAAAGCGUGGGGAGCAAACAGGAUUAGAUACCCGCGUAGUCC